rnacentral:tRNA from 1 species
AUUAAAGUAGUUUAAUUAAAAUAAAGAUUUGUGGAUUCUUAGAUGUUUAUCAAACCUUAAAUU